rnacentral:rRNA from 1 species
UACGGGGGGGGCAAGCGUUGUUCGGAAUUACUGGGCGUAAAGAGUGCGUAGGCGGUGUUCUAAGUUUGUCGUGAAAUCUCCCGGCUUAACUGGGAGGGUGCGGCGAAAACUGGAUUGCUGGAGUAUGGGAGAGGUAAGCGGAAUUCCUGGUGUAGCGGUGAAAUGCGUAGAUAUCAGGAGGAACACCUGUGGUGUAGACAGCUUGCUGGACCAUUACUGACGCUGAGGCACGAAAGCGUGGGUAGCAAACAGG